rnacentral:rRNA from 1 species
GACACUCCCGAUCGCUACCUUUGGAAACUUAAGGGUCAGUUCGGCUGGAUCGGUGACAGGUGCUGCAUGGCUGUCGUCAGCUCGUGUCGUGAGAUGUUGGGUUAAGUCCCGCAACGAGCGCAACCCUCGUCCUUAGUUGCCAGCAUUAAGUUGGGCACUCUAAGGAGACUGCCGGUGUUAAACCGGAGGAAGGCGGGGAUGACGUCAAGUCCUCAUGGCCCUUAUGUCCAGGGCUACACACGUGCUACAAUGGCCGGUACAAAGGGUAGCAAGACCGCGAGGUGGAGCCAACCCCAAAAAGCCGGUCUCAGUUCGGAUUGGAGUCUGCAACUCGACUCCAUGAAGUUGGAAUCGCUAGUAAUCGUGGAUCAGCCAAGCCGCGGUGAAUACGUUCCCGGGCCUU